rnacentral:rRNA from 1 species
CUCCUACGGGAGGCAGCAGUCGAGGAUCAUUCGCAAUGGGGGAAACCCUGACGAUGCGACGCUGCGUGGAGGAUGAAGGCCUUCGGGUUGUAAACUCCUGUCAUGAGGGAAGAGGAGAGUGUCACUAACAUUGACGCGAUUUGACGGUACCUCAAGAGGAAGCCACGGCUAACUCUGUGCCAGCAGCCGCGGUAAUACAGAGGUGGCGAGCGUUGUUCGGAUUUACUGGGCGUAAAGGGCGCGUAGGCGGCGAUGUGUGUCGGGUGUGAAAUCCCAGGGCCCAACCCUGGAAGUGCGCCCGAAACUGCAUCGCUCGAGUGCGGGAGGGGAGAUCGGAAUGCAGGGUGUAGCGGUGAAAUGCGUUGAUAUCCUGCAGAACACCGGUGGCGAAGGCGGAUCUCUGGAACGCAACUGACGCUGAGGCGCGAAAGUCGGGGGAGCAAACAGGAUUAGAUACCCUGGUAGUCCCGACCUUAAACGGUGCACACUU